rnacentral:rRNA from 1 species
AUUAAACGCUGGCGGCAUGCCUUACACAUGCAAGUCGAACGGCAGCACGGGGGCAACCCUGGUGGCGAGUGGCGGACGGGUGAGUAAUACAUCGGAACGUGCCCUGGAGUGGGGGAUAACGCAGCGAAAGCUACGCUAAUACCGCAUAUUCUGUGAGCAGGAAAGCAGGGGAUCGCAAGACCUUGCGCUUUGGGAGCGGCCGAUGUCGGAUUAGCUAGUUGGUGGGGUAAAGGCCUACCAAGGCGACGAUCCGUAGCGGGUCUGAGAGGAUGAUCCGCCACACUGGGACUGAGACACGGCCCAGACUCCUACGGGAGGCAGCAGUGGGGAAUUUUGGACAAUGGGCGGAAGCCUGAUCCAGCCAUGCCGCGUGAGUGAAGAAGGCC